CCAAUUAGGUUGGUUUUAGAUCGGCAAAAUAGCGGCAGAAAAGACGGUUUCCUGCCAUGGUUUGCCGAUGGUUUGCCAACUUAACCCCGACAUCGGCAGUACGACGCUUUGCCGAUCAAUUCCCUGCAGUUCCCUUCCGAUGGUUUGCCAACAUAACCCCAACCAUCGGCAACGCGACGUUUUACCGAGCAAUUUCCUAAUGUUUCCUCCCGAUGCUUUGCCAACUUAACACCGACCAUCAUCUGACAAUGUCCCAAACACAGUUUGCCGAUGGUUUGCCAACCUAACCCCGACCAUCGGCAACGCGACGCUUUGCAGAUCAUUUGAAGACCCCAAAACCAAAAGCCAGCGCCUGCUUGCUUGCAACCUGAGCAGCGCGAGCUCUGUUUGAAAUUAUUUCAGUUGUCAAGGGAACGAACAUUUUCCGUUUACUUUACUGGACGUCGCAGCAGUAGUAUUAGCCACCGCAAUCGUUUUUAGUUAGGCAUUACCAUUAUUUCUGUUGAAAUGUAGGUUUCAGCAUUACAAGUCAGGCUUGAUUAAACAUUAAAUUAGGUUGCUGAAAUAAAUCUCUUCACCUGUCAUGCUGUCUCGAAUGACCUCCUCAUCGAGUUUCUAAUCGAUAUCCGACCUCACUUUUUCUUACCGUUAGCAAGUUAGCUAACGUGUCAAACGUACCCAGCAACCAGGCAUACUGCUCCCGUAAUCAAGUUUCCUGCUGGAGUCGGGCUGUUGAUUCUUGUCUAGCCCAUGAUGACUGGUUGAAAGGACAUUACAAAAUAGGCUACGUCAAUUCACCACAAGUCAAAAUCAGAUCAACAGACAGGGACAUCGGCCAGAUAUGCCAUAACAAGAAAAAAUGGUGUUUUGCCCCUGCGGUUGUGAAGAGGAUGCUGUGGAGGUGGCAGCAUGAACGUGUCACACAGACAUUGGCUAAACUACUCGGCUUCUACACUUGCCCUCAGAGUUCACAUAUGGUUAAGUGCACAGGUGGCCAGCCAGGUUCAGACUGAUACUGGUAACAAGAGGAAAACAUGCUGAUUGGAAUGAUUCAACGAUGGACAUUUUGCUUAAUUGUGGAAUAAAUAAAUGGAAAAACGUC